GGGAAACUCACCAGGUCCAGACUGGGUAAGGAUGUACAGAUUGACAGCUCUUUACAGAUUCUCAGGGUGGUGGUGCAUGGCCGUUCUUAGUUGGUGGAGUGAUUUGUCAGGUUAAUUCCGUUAACGAACGAGACCUUAUCCUGCUAAAUAGUGCAGUGUAUCUUCGGAUAUACAGUUCACUUCUUAGAGGGACUUUGUGUUUUUCAGCGCAAGGAAGUUUGAGGCAAUAA
rnacentral:rRNA from 1 species